CAACCUCAACUCAUAUGGGACUACCCCCUGAAUUUAAGCAUAUUAAUUAGGGGAGGAAAAGAAACUAACAAGGAUUUUCUUAGUAGCGGCGAGCGAAAAGAAAACAGUUCAGCACUAAGUCACUUUGUCUAUAUGGCAAAUGUGAGAUGCAGUGUAUGGAGCGUCAAUAUUCUAGUAUGAGAAAUUAAUGAUUUAAGUCCUUCUUAAAUGAGGCCAUUUACCCAUAGAGGGUGCCAGGCCCGUAUAACGUUAAUGAUUGCUAGAUGAUGUUUCCAAAGAGUCGUGUUGCUUGAUAGUGCAGCACUAAGUGGGUGGUAAACUCCAUCUAAAACUAAAUAUAACCAUGAGACCGAUAGUAAACAGUACCGUGAGGGAAAGUUGAAAAGACUCUGAUAGAGAGUUAAACAGUACGUGAAACUGCUUAGAGGUUAAGCCCGAUGAACCUGAAUAUCCGUUAUGGAAAAUUCAUCAUUAAAAUUGUAAUAUUUAAAUAAUAUUAUUAAGAAUAAUGUGCAUUUUUUCCAUAUAAGGACAUUGUAAUCUAUUAGCAUAUCCCAAAUUUAUCAUAAAAUAUAACUUAUAGUUUAUUCCAAUUAAAUUGCUUGCAUUUUAACACAGAAUAAAUGUUAUUAAUUUGAUAAAGUGCUGAUAGAUUUAUAUUAUUACAGAGCGUUAAUUUUUCGGAAUUAUAUAAUGGCAUAAUUAUCAUUGAUUUUUGUGUUUAUUAUAUGCUCUUGUAUGAUUAACAAUGCGAAAGAUUCAGGAUACCUUCGGGACCCGUCUUGAAACACGGACCCAAGGAGUCUAACAUAUGUGCAAGUCAUUGGGAUGUACACCUACUAGCGUAAUUAACUUGACUAAUAAUGGGAUUAGUUUCUUCAGCUAUUUAUAGCUAAUUCACACAGUCCCGGCGCGUUCUAUAUAGUUAUGUAUAAUGUAUAUAUAUAUUAUUUAUGCCUCUAACUGGCACGUACCCUGAGCAUAUAUGCUGUGACACGAAAGAUGGUGACCUAUACGUCCAUCAGGUUGAAGUCAGGGGAAACCCGUGAUCGAUAGACCGAAACAGUCUCACGUGCGAAUCCCAUUGUCAGAAGUGCCCACAGGGGCGUACACAACUAUCGGACCAUCCAGCAGCAUGGCUCCUUUCUGAGGUUUCCCCUCAGCAUGACUGGUGCCUUCUCAU
rnacentral:ncRNA from 1 species